rnacentral:rRNA from 1 species
GUAAUUUGCAGAGGAUGCUUCGGGAGCGGCCCCCAUCUAAGUGCCCNGGAACGGGCCGUCAUAGAGGGUGAGAAUCCCGUCUGGGAUGGGGUGCCCGCGCCCGUGUGAAGCUCCUUCGACGAGUCGAGUUGUUUGGGAAUGCAGCUCUAAAUGGGUGGUAAAUUUCAUCUAAAGCUAAAUACUGGCCGGAGACCGAUAGCGCACAAGUAGAGUGAUCGAAAGAUGAAAAGCACUUUGAAAAGAGAGUUAAACAGCACGUGAAAUUGUUGAAAGGGAAGCGCUUGCGACCAGACUCGCCUACGGGGUUCAGCCGGCAUUCGUGCCGGUGUACUUCCCCGCGGGCGGGCCAGCGUCGGUUUGGGCGGCCGGUCAAAGGCCCUCGGAAUGUAACGCCCCCCGGGGCGUCUUAUAGCCGAGGGUGCCAUGCGGCCAGCCCGGACCGAGGAACGCGCUUCGGCUCGGACGCUGGCAUAAUGGUCGUAAGCGACCCG